ACUCUAUCAUCGCCCAGGCUGGAGUACAGUGGCGCAAUCUCGGCUCACUGGAACCUCUACCUCCCAACCUAUCCUCUCGCCUCAGCCUCCCAAGUAGCUGGGACUACAGGUGCACACCACCACACCCAGCUAAUUUUUUGUAUUUUUAGUAGAGACAGGUUUUUCCAUGUUGCCCAGGCUGGUGUUGAACUCCUGGGCUCAAACAAUCCACCUACAAAUGUGAGCCACCUCGCCCAGCCCAGAGACAUUUUUUAAAUGCCUUUUCCUUGCCUUACACAAUUUCAUAAAUUCAUGGAGUCAGGCCAAAACAAAAAUUCUGACUUAAAUAUGAGUUAUCUUUUAUGCUAUUUUGAUUUGUAUAUCCUAACAAUAGUAAAAUUCAGGUGAUGCUUUCUUAUUUUUUUGUUUCUGGUGAUCUAAAGGAUAUGGACACUAAUGCAUUAUGGAUAGCUCAGGUGAUUUUACUCUCAAGCAUUUUUUUAAGUCAAAAUUCUACACAUCAGUAAUAGUUAUACUGCCAUUUGAGGUCAUAACCUGACCCACUGACAAAGAAGCCCAGUGAUAUAAUAUUAUUUUCAUAUGCUUCUUUUACACCUCUCCCUGCUAAUUACCAUCAUGUUACCAUAUUCUUGCCAAAAAAAAAAAAAAAAAACACCAGAGUCGUUACAUGAAGUAUCUUUGAUCACUGAAUUUCCAGCACUUCUUUGUUGUGUCUAGAUGCUAAGCCCUUUUCUAAUUUGAAAAAAAAAAAACAAAAAACUGGAGACCUGAUUCUGUUUAUCUCUUGUAGUUUCUCUUAUCUCUGUUUCUAACCACUCUAUGUAGUGCCUCUUUUUUUCUGUCUACACACACACGGAGCAUCCACCAUACCAAUAAUCACAGUAUGUGGUAAUGAAAAGUGGAAGGGAAAAAUGGCCCUUGCUUCUCACAGACAAACUCACUAUCUCAAUGGAUCAUUUUUGUUUUUUUGUUUUGUUUUGUUUUUGAGACAGUCUCACUCUGUUGCGCAGGCUGGAGUGCAGUAGUGCAAUCUUAGCUCACUACAACCUCUGCCCCCGGGUUCAAGCAAUUCUCCUGCCUCAGCCUCCUGAGUAGCUGGGAUUACGGCACCUGCCACCAUGCCCUGCUAAUUUUUGUUUUUUUAGUAGAGAUGGGGUUUCACCAUGUUGGCCAGGCUGGUCUCGAACUCCUGACCUCAAGUGAUCUGCCCGCCUCGGCCUCCCAAAGUGCUGAAAUUACAGGCAUGAGCCACAGCGCCCCGCCUCAAUGGAUCCUGAUGAGCUACGCAAACCAUUAUUUUUAUGUCUUUAUGAAUGCCACCAGAAAGUUUCAUUUUGUUCUUUCUGAAAACAACCAUGAUUAUAAGAUGUCUUCUGAAACACGGAAGUGAGAGAACAUGUUGUACAGAGAAGCAUGCAUCCCUCUGCCCUGCCACCACUGCACCUAUGCUAAGCAUAUUAUAGACAGAAGGAUGUCCAUCUGCCUAUGUAAGCUCUUGCCCGUUUAUUCUUGGGCUCUGUCCAGGCUGUGACCCUAUUACUCCUUUGCUCCUUCAUUUGAGGACUAUGACUGUGAACUGUAUUUCUUCCUCUCUGCACCUAUAUAGGCUACAGGAGGAAGUAACAAAAAUCUUCCCCCACACCCAGAGCUAAAUAUUUUUUGCCCCAAGCUGAAAGUUCUCUAGUGAAAAUGCAGUUCAAGGCCAUAGAUGCAGGAGAGAAGUAGAUUUGUUGGCUUCUAAAAGGAAUAUUUAUACAGUUUUGUCUAACAGCACCAUCCUAACAGCAUUCUGAUUUGUUUUAUUUUCCAUUUUUAAUACCUUUGUUGAUGUGUAAUUUACAUACAGUAAACUACACACUUAAUGUAUACAAUAUUAUAAGUUUUUAUGUACAUGUGUACUCGAGAAACCAUCACCACUAUCAAGAUAAUAAACAUCCAUCACCCCUUGGAGAAAUCACGUUGCAAUCCCUCUCUUGUGCCCCUACCUACAUUCUCCGUUCUAAGGAACUGCUGAUCUUCUUUCUGUCUCUGUAGAUUAGUUUGCAUUUUCUAGAAUUUUAUAUAAAUGGAGCCAUAUAAUAUGUACUCUUUUUUUGGUCUGGAUUCUUUCCAUCAACAUAAUUAUCUUGAGAUUUAUCCAUUUUUUGCAUGUUUCAAUAGUUUAUGCCUUUUUAUUGCUCAACAGUAUUCCAUUGUAUGUAUAUACCACAGACUGUUUAUCCAUUUGCCUGUAGAUGGAUAUUUGGGUUGUUUCUAGUUUUGUUGUUGUUGUUGUUGUUGUUGUUGUUGUUACCAAUAAAGCUGCUGUGAACAUUUGGCACCAGUC
rnacentral:lncRNA from 10 species